rnacentral:lncRNA from 1 species
GAGAAAGAGCUUGCCGGGGGGCGAGCAGGACAGGACGAAGCCGGAGUGUAGGCGGCAGAGGAUUCGCUCCCAGAGCAGCUGCGGCCAGGUAUAUGAAUGACCUAAAGGUACAAAUAAAGACGGAGAGAGAACAGUGCCAACUGGGAGCAGGGCAAGAAUGCCAAUUCCUCCUCCCCCGCCACCCCCACCUGGUCCUCCUCCACCUCCCACAUUUCAUCAGGCACAUUCUCGCCCUGUUGCCCAGGCUGCAGUGCAGUGGUGUGAUCUCGGCUCACUGCAACCUCCACCUCCUGGGUUCAAGCGAUUCUCCUGUCUCAGCCUCCUGAGUAGCUGGGAUACAGCAUGUGCCACCAUGCCUAGCUAAGUUUUUGUAUUUUUAGUAGAGAUGGGGUUUCACCAUGUUGGCCAGGAUGGUCUGGAACUCCUGACUUCAAGUGAUCCACCUGCCUUGGCCUCCCAAAGUGUUGGGAUUACAGGCGUGAGCCACCGCACCCGGCCGAUAAAGGGAACUCUUUAGGGUGAACUUAUAUUUCUCUUAUCCUCCAGGCAAACACAGAGCAGCCCAAGCUGAGUAGAGAUGAGCAGCGGGGUCGAGGCGCCCUCUUACAGGACAUUUGCAAAGGGACCAAGCUGAAGAAGGUGACCAACAUUAAUGAUCGGAGUGCUCCCAUCCUCGAGAGUGAGUCCGAGCUUCAUUUCCUAGUGAACUGGCAGGAUCCCAGGAGUGACUUGGAGACUUGGCUGGGUUCUUAUUUUUAUUGGGCCUUGAGUGGGAGAGUUUUGUCCUGGGAUGUGCUUUGGCUCUCUUCUUAUUCAUUCUUCUGAACCUUAGAAGUUUCUUCUUGACUCU